CCCUUAGAUGUUCGGGGCCGCACGCGCGCUACACUGAAUGAAUCAGCGAGUGUAUGUCCUAGGCCGAAAGGUCCGGGUAACCCGUUGAACCUCAUUCGUGAUUGGGAUAGGGACUUGCAAUUGUUUCCCUUGAACGAGGAAUUCCCAGUAAGCGCAAGUCAUCAGCUUGCGUUGAUUACGUCCCUGCCCUUUGUACACACCGCCCGUCGCUACUAUCGAUUGAGCGGUUCAGUGAGGGCCUCGGAUUGGUCUCGGUCUGGCGUGCAAGCGCCGGCACCGUUGGCCGAGAAGACGCUCGAACUCGAUCGCUUGGAGAAAGUAAAAGUCGUAACA
rnacentral:rRNA from 1 species